UGGGGAAUAUUGCACAAUGGGCGAAAGCCUGAUGCAGCAACGCCGCGUGAGUGAUGAAGGCCUUCGGGUUGUAAAGCUCUGUCUUUUGGGACGAUAAUGACGGUACCAAAGGAGGAAGCCACGGCUAACUACGUGCCAGCAGCCGCGGUAAUACGUAGGUGGCAAGCGUUGUCCGGAUUUACUGGGCGUAAAGGAUGCGUAGGCGGAUUUUUAAGUGAGAUGUGAAAUACCCGGGCUUAACUUGGGUGCUGCAUUUCAAACUGGGAAUCUAGAGUGCGGGAGAGGAGAAUGGAAUUCCUAGUGUAGCGGUGAAAUGCGUAGAGAUUAGGAAGAACACCAGUGGCGAAGGCGAUUCUCUGGACCGUAACUGACGCUGAGGCAUGAAAGCGUGGGUAGCAAACAGGAUUAGAUACCCUGGUAGUCCACGCCGUAAACGAUGAGUACUAGGUGUAGGAGGUAUCGACCCCUUCUGUGCCGCAGUUAACACAAUAAGUACUCCGCCUAGGAAGUACGAUCGCAAGAUUAAAACUUAAAUGAAUUGACGGGGUCAUAGCUGUUUCC
rnacentral:rRNA from 1 species